UACGUAGGGGGCUAGCGUUGUCCGGAAUCAUUGGGCGUAAAGAGCGUGUAGGCGGCCCGGUAAGUCCGCUGUAAAAGUCAAAGGCUCAACCUUUGAAUGUCAGUGGAUACUGCCGGGCUAGAGUCCGGAAGAGGCGAGUGGAACUCCUGGUGUAGCGGUGAAAUGCGCAGAUAUCAGGAGGAACACCAAUGGCGAAGGCAGCUCGCUGGGACGUGACUGACGCUGAGACGCGAAAGCGUGGGGAGCGAACAGG
rnacentral:rRNA from 1 species